rnacentral:lncRNA from 1 species
CCUAGCCUCCUGCCUCUCUAACAGCCAAUGGCGACCAAGUCCUAGCAGUCCUAUCUCUAAAGGUCCUCGCUAUCUGUCAUCUCCCCUUCAUUUUCCCAGUUACUCCAGUUACUGUCCUACUGAAGGACCCCCAUCCCAUCUGGGCUACUAUAACCACAUGGACCAUCCCUUGCUUCAAUCAUAGAAUUCUUUCUUCAGAUCAAAGUAUAUUCAGACACUCGAUACAGUAACAAAAGCAAGCUAUCCUGGAAGGAAGAAGGAAUCAGGAGGCAGAGCACAUGGUUAAAGCAUGAGAUGUGAAACCAGGAAGAACCAGGUCUGAACCUUAGCUCCACCAGUGGUAGCUUCAAACCUUGGUCCUU